GCCUCUUCUUGCAGAAGAAUGCCUGUGUCUUGCCUGAGGAUUUAAAGAAUUUCUACCUGAUGACAGACGGCUUCUACAUGACUUGGAGCAUAAAGUUUGACGGUAAGAAGAAGCCUUUCACAGCUUGGGACUAGUUUACUUGCAAAGGCCACCUUCCCCACUCAGCCACCUCGAUCUGCGGAACCAACAAGCACCCCAUAAUGCUCACUCUGCAUAUGUAAUAAAUCAAUAGUUUAGUGCAGCAGCGCCCCACUUUGGAACUCGCUGCUUAUUGACAAGAGGCAGGCGACUUUGCUGUAUUCUUUUUCGGUGCCUGUUAAAAGCAUUAUUGUUCAGGCAAGCCUACCCAGAUGCUAAGAAGUAUGGCAUGUGUUUGAAUCCGGUUUUUAGCUUAUCAUUGAUUUUAAUUAAUGGAAAGGGUGUUAUUGGUUUGUUUUGUUUUUGUUCCUGUUUCUACCGAGCGUUUUGCGUUUGCCCCUUGUGUCUUUGUGCAGGGAUCUUCAGAUGAUGGGCAGUAUACAAAAAAACAACAACUUUUGAAUGUUUUUAAAUACAGUGGUACCUCGGGUUAAGAACUUAAUUUGUUCUGGAAGUCCGUUCUUAACCUGAAACUGUUCAUAACCUGAGGUACCACUUUAGCUAAUGGGGCCUCCCGCUGCUGCCGUGCCACCGCUGCACAAUUUCUGUUCCCAUCCUGAAGCAAAGUUCUUAACCCGAGGUACUAUUUCUGGGUUAGCGGAGUCUGUAACCUGAAGUGUCUGUAACCCAAGGUACCACUGUAGCUGUUU